rnacentral:rRNA from 1 species
UUUGAUCAUGGCUCAGGAUGAACGCUAGCGGCAGGCCUAACACAUGCAAGUCGAGGGGCAGCACGUCUUCGGAUGGUGGCGACCGGCGCACGGGUGCGUAACGCGUAUGCAACCUACCUCUUACAGUGGGAUAGCCCAGAGAAAUUUGGAUUAAUACCGCAUAGUAUACAGAUUCAGCAUUUGGGACUGUAUUAAACAUUUAUGGGUAAGAGAUGGGCAUGCGUUCUAUUAGUUAGUUGGAGUGGUAACGGCACCCCAAGACAGCGAUAGAUAGGGGCCCUGAGAGGGGGAUCCCCCACACUGGUACUGAGACACGGACCAGACUCCUACGGGAGACAGCAGUGAGGAAUAUUGGACAAUGGGCGAGAGCCUGAUCCAGCCAUGCCGCGUGCAGGAAGACGGCCCUAUGGGUUGUAAACUGCUUUUGUACGGGAAGAACACCCCCUCGUGAGGGGGCUUGACGGUACCGUAAGAAUAAGGAUCGGCUAACUCCGUG